UGGGGAAUAUUGGACAAUGGGGGCAACCCUGAUCCAGCAAUGCCGCGUGUGUGAAGAAGGCCUUCGGGUUGUAAAGCACUUUUAUCAGGAAAGCGGUACCUGAGGAAUAAGCACCGGCUAACUUCGUGCCAGCAGCCGCGGUAAUACGAAGGGUGCAAGCGUUAAUCGGAAUUACUGGGCGUAAAGGGUGCGUAGGCGGCUUGCUAAGCCGGAUGUGAAAGCCCUGGGCUCAACCUGGGAAUGGCAUCCGGGACUGGCAGGCUGGAGUGCGGUAGAGGGUGGUGGAAUUCCCGGUGUAGCGGUGAAAUGCGUAGAGAUCGGGAGGAACAUCGAUGGCGAAGGCAGCCACCUGGACCAGCACUGACGCUGAGGCACGAAAGCGUGGGGAGCAAACAGGAUUAGAUACCCUAGUAGU
rnacentral:rRNA from 1 species